rnacentral:rRNA from 1 species
GACGAACGCUGGCGGCGUGCUUAACACAUGCAAGUCGAACGAAGUGGCGAACGGGUGAGUAACGCGUAAUCAACCUGCCCUUCAGAGGGGGACAACAGUUGGAAACGACUGCUAAUACCGCAUACUGAAGGAGGGGAUUGCGUUUGAUUUGCUGGUUGGGGGGGUAACGGCCCACCAAGGCGAUGUUCAGUAGCCCGUCUGAGGGGAUGAGUGGCCACAUUGGGACUGAGACACGGCCCAGACUCCUUCGGGAGGCAGCAGUGGGGAAUCUUCCGCAAUGGACGAAAGUCUGACGGGGCAACGCCGCGGGAGUGAUGGCGGCCUUCGGGUUGUAAAGCUCUUUUAGUCGGGACGCGGUACCGGAAUAGAAAGCCACGGCUAACUACGUGCCAGCAGCCGCGGUAAUAC